ACCACCACAAUCUCUAAUCCCUAAAAAAGGAAAAGAAGUCUGGAGUUUCUCAGGGCACAUUUUCCCCUCCGAAUUAAAUCUAAAAACAAUGCAAAAUGUUGGCACACACGAAGGUUGAUGUGACAUCACUUUUCAAGUGAGGAAUGAGUUCAGCGGCAAAUAAGGGCCAGCUACUUCCUGCUCCCACACCCGUAGCCCUUCAGUUCCUUCAUUGCACUCUAAACCACACGAGUGUCCUUUCUGUGUGUCUCAGUUUCGCUUUCCCAGUGUAGCCUUUAUCUUUCUAACCUUUAGAGACGUCUUGGACUAAGAAAAAGAAAAAUCUGAAGACAUUGAUUUUCAAAUGGAAAAUUUCUUUGAAAACACUGCACAUCUAUUCAUCAUAAACAGACAGCUCAGUGAGCUGACUUUCUGUUUUGAGUCAGAGAGCAACAGGCCUUCAGCAAAUAGUCCUCAGCCUCAGAGACAGGCAAGCCAUAUCCUUCUACUUCCUUUGCAUCUUCUCUAAAUCAAUGGUUUCGUUUCCUUUCCUACAUGCAUGCUUCUCUCAGUGCAAGCGCCACAUGCUGGAAAGGGUUGCCGCACACAUCAGUGGGUGGUUCUGCAUCUUCUGGCUUUAUUCUGGCUGAAAGGACACACAGUAAAGGAGGGACUUCAUUCCAGCUAUUGUUGCUUAUGUGCACUGCUCUGUGCAAUGAUACCGCAUAGCCUGGGCUAUCAGAGGUGACACUGUUAGAAGGAGAUCCAGGGGGAAGAGGUAGUUUGGAAUCUCAUCAAAACAACCUUAGUAGAAACUUUGGAAACACUGGGGAGAAGCUGUAGGUUUCUGACUGAAGACGCAAACAAAAUUUAAACAAAGACUUGAACGAGAGACACUGUAGUGGUUUUAAUGAGAAUGUCCCCGUAGACUCUUAUAUUAGAAAUGUGGUUUCCAGUUGGUGGCCAUGUUGUUCUGUUUUCCACUAUUUAAUUUGUCUUUUUCAGUUGGCUUAUUGAUAACAGUUGACUAAACAUGGCUUGGGGCACAGGAUGUGACCCCCAAGUUCAGUAACAAUAGCAGGUCCUAACACACACACACACACACACACACACACACACACACACACACACACACAAGCAAGAAAGGUUUCUUUCCCUUUCCCGUGUCUUCUCCGUGCUCCCUGAGCAUCUUGUACAUAAGGUUAUUUGCUUUUCCUUGUGGCCACACCUUCCAGUUUUCCUCCCUUGUCUUCUCAGUUUUCAUCCCUUUCGAGCCAGGACACCUUCUCCAUUGAGGCACCUCUGUCAUAGGUAGUCCCGACGCCUAGCCUCUGGUGUCACUCCAUUACAAAGCUCCUCCUUUAGCCUGUGACACCUCUGGUGACUUGGUCUCCUUUGGUGCCUUCUGACUCAGUGUUUGUCUGUAGAUAAACAGAGAAUUCACAAAACCUGGUUCUCCCUUGUCCUUCUCACAUCAGUGAGCCUCUAUUCACAGAGCACCCUGGAGGGCCCUGGGAUCCCUGUUCAUGUGACCUCCUUUCUUUCUGAAGGGGGAAGAGUGGCCUUUUUUGUGGGUUCUGCCUGCUCAUUUGUAGAUAGGGCUGGCUACAUAGCCCUGGCUGGCUUUGAACUUGUUAUGCAGAUCAGGUUGGCAUCAAACUCACAGAGAUCAACCUACCACCCAUUCCUGGCCAAAUAAGUGAUCUUAACGUAGUUCACAGAGAUUCCUGAGCCCACCUGACACUGCAACUCUUGUCAUACUGAAUUUCAUACAGUAGAGCAUGUAGUAGACUUUUAUACACUGAAGUUUGUAUGUAGCAUGUAGGAGCUGGGUGUUGUCAAUGGGUAAGUAACUGCUACAGUACCACCCCAGAGCUUGUCUGACUCAGGGUACUAGCAGGUUCUGCAGAGGAGAGCAGAACUGUAUUCCCCAUUGGCUUUGGGUGGUAGAUAUGAGCAGAUUAAGAUGGUCCACUGAGUUUAUCGGGUGUGGAGAAAUGUAGGGAGGCUCUGUGGAAGAGCUCCAGCAUACAUAGAUGUAAUGGCUCAGGGAGAAAGGCUGAGGACCACAGAGAGCUAAUUAAAUAACCAUGUUCCAUCUGUGUUUUUUACCCAAUUUGAUCUGUGGAGGAAGCAGUUGAUAGAAAUGGAUGGAACCUUUCCGAGCUGCAGUAGACAUCGCUUGUGUUCUGCUUUAGUAUCUCCUUAGUUGUGAGCUUCUGGGGUCACCUGACACUUGCACAGCAUAGGGGAAAGGGCUUUGAUAGUGCUUCACCAAGGUCAUCUUUGUAACUUCACUAUUCGUGUGGGAUAAUGGUUUGGGAUUUUGUCUUGUCCAUUCCUUCCUCAUGAAAGGUUUUGGUAAGUAGACAUACUGUUGACCUCUGAGUGUUUGCAGAUUUGGAAAGCCAUUGGAGAGACAACCAAGUGCAAUGGGGGAAAAAAGCUCAAAAGGACCCCAAAGGCACUCUACAUGGUGGAAGAAGACAUUCUCAAGUCAAGCUGCGGAGCAGACUGAGGGCAGAGCAGACUGAGGGCAGAGUAGCUGCCUGGAAGAAGCAGAAACCAGCUGAGCUGCCUGAGGCUGUGCAGGAGCUCCAGGUCCCCAGUGUUGUGCGCUGUCACCCAUGCUGGAGUGGAACUUGAUAAUGCACUGCAAUCAAGUCAUUUGUGCUCUUGCACAGAGUGCCCCACCCAUAUUCCUGUAUGCAGGUAUGCAGUACAACGUAAGACCAGUAGCUGACAUCCAGAUGUUCAAGAGGUGGGAGAUAAGUCCUUGUUAGUGUAGACAGCCUGCACCAGAAACAGGACCCAGUGGCCCCUGAGCUGGAUCUGACCUGAAAGCCUCCUCCCUGAGGACUAACUUUCAUGGAACUAGAACGUGCUGUGCAAGCUUCCAGGUAAGGAAGCAACCGAUCGUCCUACCCAGCUAUGAUCCUAUGACUCACCACAACCAACACGACAAGGUAACCCCAAGGGUGCAGUAGUGGCACACAUGCCUUGGUGAUAACCAACAGCUCUCUAAUUGGGUUUGAGGGAAAUUUUAUCUUGGACUAGAAGCCUAACCAACUAUCCUGGGCUAGAGCCCAUAUCCACCACUUAAUUAUUUCAGCACAAUCCCUAACUACAUUCUAAGUAUUUAUCCUUAUGCCUAUAUAUAGUGUAGUCCUCACCACUCGUCAAAGAAACGUCUCUUUGUAACAGAUGAAGACCAUUACAGAAAACCACAUUUGAUCAAAAUGCAGAGAACAAGAGACCACAUGUUGCCCACCUCCACUGAUACAUCUACGACUCCGGCACCAAGGGUUCCUGGAUCAUUGUAAAAGAAGGGGCAGAAAAAUAGGUGAGAGCCACAGGAAAGGAAGUUUGCUGUGAUAUUGUACCCCCUACACAUGCCAGAGAAGCAGCGCUCAUGAAGUCUCAUCGCAUGGCUACCUAACUCAAACAUGAACAAAGACGACAGUAGUGGACAUGCUCCCGUGGAAGGGGAAAACUCAGGAGGCUACAACCUUAGACAAAGAAUUACAGGCAACGAAGUGGAGAAAUAGUCUCCCCUAGAGAAGAGAACUUCCUACUGGUCAUCCAGCACUAAGUGACCAGUUCUGAAAUCACAAGCCACAUAUAUAAAAGUAACACUGUAAGGGCUAAGUGGGUUGUAUUUAUAUAUUAAGGAAUACACAUAUGGAUAUAUAUGAAUAUAUAUAUUUAGGACUAUAUGUAUUUAGGAAUAUAUGUGUAUGUAUAUGUGUUUGUAUGUAUGUGUAAGAACAAUUAAAGAGACCUCUUUAUUAAAUUAUUUUAUUUAUUUACA
rnacentral:sRNA from 1 species